UACGGGGGGGGGCAAGCGUUGUUCGGAAUUACUGGGCGUAAAGGGCUCGUAGGCGGCCAACUAAGUCGGAUGUGAAAUCCCCAGGCUUAACCUGGGAACUGCAUCCGAUACUGGAUGGCUUGAGUUUGGGAGAGGGACGCGGAAUUCCAGGUGUAGCGGUGAAAUGCGUAGAUAUCUGGAGGAACACCGGUGGCGAAGGCGGCGUCCUGGACCAACACUGACACUGAUGAGCGAAAGCCAGGGGAGCAAACGGG
rnacentral:rRNA from 1 species